UGGGGCAUAGCCAAGUGGUAAGGCAACGGUUUUUGGUACCGUCAUCCCUAGGUUCGAAUCCUAGUGCCCCAGCCA
rnacentral:tRNA from 1 species